rnacentral:tRNA from 1 species
CGCAGGGUAAGUCAGCGGUAGAUUGCGUGGCUCAUGACCACGAUGUCGCGGGUUCGAUUCCCGCUCCUGCCA